AUACGUAGGGGGCGAGCGUUGUCCGGAAUGAUUGGGCGUAAAGGGCGCGUAGGCGGCCCGGUAAGUCUGGAGUGAAAGUCCUGUUUUUAAGAUGGGAAUUGCUUUGGAUACUGUCGGGCUUGAGUGCAGGAGAGGUAAGUGGAAUUCCCAGUGUAGCGGUGAAAUGCGUAGAGAUUGGGAGGAACACCAGUGGCGAAGGCGACUUAAUGGAAUGUAACUGACGCUGAGGCGCGGAAGUGUGGGGAGCAAACAGGAUUAGAUACCCUGGUAGUCCACACUGUAAACGAUGAAUGCUAGGUGUAGGGGGUAUCGACCCCUUCUGUGCCGCAGUCAACACAAUAAGCAUUCCGCCUGGGGAGUACGGCCGCAAGGUUGAAACUCAAAUGAAUUGACGGGG
rnacentral:rRNA from 1 species